UACGGAGGGAGCUAGCGUUGUUCGGAAUUACUGGGCGUAAAGCGCACGUAGGCGGCUUUGUAAGUUAGAGGUGAAAGCCCGGGGCUCAACUCCGGAAUUGCCUUUAAGACUGCAUCGCUAGAAUUGUGGAGAGGUAAGUGGAAUUCCGAGUGUAGAGGUGAAAUUCGUAGAUAUUCGGAAGAACACCAGUGGCGAAGGCGGCUCACUGGCCCGAUACUGACGCUGAGGCACGAAAGCGUGGGGAGCAAACAGG
rnacentral:rRNA from 1 species